rnacentral:tRNA from 3 species
GAGAGAGUAAGACAUAACCCUGAAAGAUUGCUAGUCCUUCAAGACCAUGGUUUAAAUCCAUGGCUCACUCG